UCGAACAAAGUGAUGUUUGUAUGUAUUGUUUGACUGGUGUUCGAGCGCCGCCUCACUUUCAAAAUUGUUGGAAUAAGGCAAUGCCCUACCCCUCGACUGACAGUCGUUCAUGGGCUGGUUUGACGUCUGGGGAGCGAAAGCGAUCCAGUCUCAUGUACGAAUUCAGAUUCCGCCAAUAGAAAUCUAAACCAACGCGUGCUAACAACACACGCGGUUAACUUCUCGUCCUUUCAACAAUUAAUAGUGCCCUCCUUCAGUCCAAAAAAUAAUGGAUAUAAGUUUGUGUACAUGUGUGUGUGUGAUGGUGAUAAUGGUGUCCUCUGUUCAUAGCACUGCACCUGGUCUGGCUGAUGGCUACUGUACCUCCCGAUGAAGACGGUCACCAAUCCGACACCAAGCCGCUUAUCUUUCCCGAGUCUUGCUCACGGAAACAGGAAAACGCACACCUUUGCCGUCCAGACGCGAUCGGACGCAGCCGGAUGGAGUACGUAUCGACGGCCACGAUGAAUUGCUGCUGCUGGAUGACCCGCGAAGCUCGUCAUCCGUUGCCUUCCGGUAAUGCUGAGGGGAGGUUGAGAGGAAGCCUUCGUCCGGCCCUCGAGUGGCGUCUUUUGCUUCAAUAGGCCACACGCAGUUUGUUCGCGCCAUCUCACACAGGAUCGUAAAACACAUAAAACCUACUCCCCCUCAACCAUCUUUGACGAGGAUAAGGACCGUGUGCGAAAACGACGAAAUGGAUAGAUGUGGGACAUGGAAUAAGUAAGGAAGAGUCUUGAAAAAAAAAGAGCAAAGACAGGAUGGCAUCGGAUGGGAUCGGGCAUGAUGGGUCAAACUAUGAGAGGGGUACUAAAAGUGGAAGAGUAUAGGGGAAGGAGGGUAUCUGGAACGCAGGUAUAAAUGAAGAACAAAAACCAGAAUAAGCCGGUUGCUGCCGCCCAAGGCGAAAGUCAUAAACUGAUGAUCCACGAGCGAAGAGCAGCACGAAGCAAAAGCAAAAAUCAAGCAGGGUACAAACAAAAAGAAAGAGGCAGCGUCUGGAUGGAAGCAUUCCUCGAUGCUACGGAUGCUGACGAUGGAUGCUGCAAAUGGUCCGCGAACGCGCUCCGUAUGUAACAUUCUCGACAUUGAGCAUUAUUAACAAAUCUUAAACCUUGUGUUAGAAAGCAACCGAUUGCUUAUAGGUGAGAGAGACGCAAAAUUUAGGUGUUGCUGCGGACGAAAGCAGUAGUAGAACAGAUUAUGCGUAGUAGGCCACCGGAUAAUCGGAAGACGGUGAAGCGUGCCUGUUUGUCUCGCUCUAGUUCGCCCGUCGAUCAUUUUGGGGCCGGUAGUUCUAGGUGUGUUGAAAUAGUUGGAGUAAUGCGAAAACAGCAAUGUUACCUAAAUACCUGACAAUCCAACCGAUCGUCCUUUGUAACCUUUCCAAUUGGCUAAAUCGGUUAGGUGUAGCCCGAUGUUAGAGUCUUUCGCGUGAAAAUCUACCCGCCGUAUAUCUUCUGACGUGUCGCUGCUACUUGUACCCCUGUGAUGGCCAAUCAUCCUCCCCAUGAAGUAAAUACUCUGGCCCUUGAAACCAGAUGGCAUCAAAAUCGAAGUUCGGCUUUGAUUUAGGAAAAGUAAGUGGCUUCAGUGGCGCCUCCUUAGCUUUCCUCUACCGAUGAGUGUACACUAAAGUUGUCCCAUAUCGUCAAACAGCCUCGAAUAUAAGGCGCAUGCAUAAGCGUGCUGACUUGCAUCGACAAACGAGUGCGAUUCGCCAAUGCGUAUGUCUUCUUGAUAAGAUAUUUGUUCUCGUAUCUUUCCACUAAUGCCGAACAAGCUUGCACUGUGGUCAACGGUUCAUCUUUCAAAAAACUUUUGAAGUAAAACCCCUUUUUCUGUGUUUGACAAUGCACUGUUUUUGUGAACUACUCCGCGGUGUGUGCUGUUCAUCUUCUUGAAUCUUAAAUCUUAGUUUAGAAAGCAAGCAAUUGCUUAUAGUUAAAGGGUCUUUAGGGGGUUGGUAGUUCGGAUCUAACUUUUUCCCUAAUUUUAUGUCGCGAACGCGUUUGGUUUCGUGAGUAUGUAACAAUGGAUUUUUAUUCUACACUAUAUUCGGAACGGUUGUGCACGUUCAUUCGAGAUGGGUUCGCGUUGAGGAUUUUGACGAUCGCGGAGCGAAGGAAGAGGUCUGUUCGUCUUCGAGGUCGGUGUUGAAAGAGAAAGAAUGUGCUCGCUGACAGCAGGAAGUGAAGCGCUGGACACGCGGCACACGUCACCUUGACACGUUCGUGUGCCUGGUGAGUGCGCUCCGCGGAGAUGCGUGUCUUUGUCCCAGACUGUCACGAUCGCUCGAUUAUUCUGGUCGCUACAGGUCAAUUACCAACUAUCGGUUGCAGACUUAACCUACCUACUCGUUAGCAUUAUGUUCUUUUGAGUAGAGUUGGCAUUCUGCCUUAGUAAGGAUUUUCAUGCGGCACUCACAAGCCCAACUUGACUGUCGUCGACGCACAGUCCGAUUGUCGCACGAGUACGCGAAUCCUUUUGUUUUCCAUACCGGCGCCACUGGUUCAGGCUGAGCCUCACUAAUUGUGCUCCACAGCUCGUUGCGCUCGCACCUCUUCUCUUCCGCAGUUCCCCUCUCUCGCCAACUCGGUUGGCCCAAGUAGUGUACCAAGCGUUGAUAUUGCCAGCAAUAAUUUAUUUAUAAGACUCUAUUGACGGUCAUAACUAUCGUGUCCAGAAGAUGUUGAAAUUCAUCGAAACUCCAGCUUGGAGGCGCAUACGCGAACUGCUCAUUAGGUACUUUCGGAGCUGGUACUUUAAUUUAAGCUUUUGACUACCUCGUGGGUAGACCAUUUUUUAUUUAAUUCCCAAGAUGUCACUAUGUACAAUUUUCAUGUGCUCGCUUGCAGCAAGGAGAAGCGCACCGACCCAAACGUUCUGCGAUCGUGAAACCGAUCGCGUUUAAUUGGUGGCAGAUAGAAAUCAUUUUGUUCGCAUACUGUUCAGUGGUCAUCUACAGCUCUCCGAGUCGGUUCUUAUAAGCUCCCUGUUGUGUAUAAGUCUUCCACGGCGUCCCUGCAUUCGGUGCAAUUGGGCGAGCCAUCCAGAAUGCCUUUCUCGACGAAAUAGGAGCGCAGAAUCAGAGAAUUGGGGCGUUUUUGCUAAAAUAGCCCUGUGCUUCACGGUGUCCCUGAUAAACAGCAUGAGUUCAUGUUUUGCUUUUUGCAAUGUGCCCAUGGGAUUGGAAUCUGCUGGAUAUGCAGUUGCAAAAAAUUUCCUGUCGUAUAUUUGCCCUGCCUUGGAACCCUUCCCUUGGCUGUCUUCCGCGCAUAACUACUACCGCUCGUGUAUCCUUAUCCUUAUCCUUAAUAGUUAUGCGAAUCUAGCAAUAAUAUGAUUCUACUUUGCGCUUUCUUAUCUUUUACGGGAUUCGCGGACUCUACUGUUUCGUCGUCUUUCAUGAUAGGCUCGACGGCGUUCGACAGAUCCUCGACUUUUAGAAAUGUCCUGUACUACGAAUUUUCAUUUGUGGAUCCACGAAUGGACACGUUUGUGUAUCUGGGCCCAUAAUCAGUUAAUCUACAGUGUCGGGCUAACUUGGCAGAAUUUAAUAUUUGGUAGCAUGCCCAUCGUUCCGGAUGACAUCUCGAAUCCUUCGAGGCAUGGAUUCAACCAACGCUUGGCAUGUCGAUGGCGGAAUGCUGUACCAAGCAGCGUUUAAUUGCUGCCACAGUUUCUCUUAAGUUCGAGAACCUGAAUUGCCAUUUCAAUGGCAUCUCCCACUCUGCAUGAGUCAGCAUGGCAGUUUGGAUGAUGUCUAAGUAUCUGUGUUGGUCCAUGAUAUUUUUUAUCCAAAAGAUAGGACCGACACCGUACCAAGAGAAACAUCCCCAAACCAUGAUGUUGCCUCCGCCGUGUUUCACGGUUUUUACAGUGUACUGUGGCCGGAAGGCGGUAUCCAAUGGACGACGCACCCAGCGUUUUCCAUCCGAACCUACCAAAUUCACUUUGGUGGACUCGUCCGAUUACAGUACAUUUCGCCACUUGUCCAGGUUUACACCUGCCCAGUCGUAGUGCUCUUGAGCAAACUGCAACCGGGCUUGAACUGUUUUGGAUCGGCCAAGUAUUUCCGCGAUUUUUCGCUCGGGAGUUCCCAGCAGCGGACAAUCGUUUAAUACUUAAACGCUGUUGUUGUGUGGAGUGUGCACUACGGCCCAUCGUAGGAAUUCCUUCAAUUAAGCGCUUUGUCCGAUACUGUAAUUUGCGGAUUUGGAGCGGAGCUUUCCCAACUCUUUAGGAAUUGGAGAAGUCCAGUUCCUCAACUCAAAUCCGCCGUUCCUAAAAAUAUCCCUUACAUCAAGCGAUAUCUGACACGCUUCUUCUUCCGUCUUGAAGCUGUCCAGACAGUCGUCCACGUAAGUGCUUUCGAUAAUUCUCUCCAUUGUAUAGGCAUCGGUACUUACGGAUCUCUUCGAUGAGUUUCGGAGUGUGUGCUGUUCGUCUUUUUAAAUAUUAGGCUAGAAAACAAGCGAUUGCUUAUAGUUAAUGGGUAAAAAAUACCGACUAUCGGUAUCAGAGUUAAUCUAGUUAUUCGUUAUUACUAUGCUCUUCUGAGUAGAGUUGGCAUCCUGCCCUUCUUAUCUCCACCCUAAAACGGCGACGAGCCGUGCUGUCGAUCCUUUAUGGCGUUCCGUGGGCGCUACAGACACACCGGACGGCGUAUAUAAAUCAUGCGGGUGCAUGCUGGUUCCUGAGCUGCUGCUUAAGAAUCCACCACAGAUUUUCUAUCGGGUUGAGGUCAGGACUCAACGCAGGCCACUGUAGAACGCGCACAUCCUGGUUUGCCAAAUAACACUUACCUGUUCGCGAUGUGUGCUUUGAGUCGUUAUCAUGCUGAAAGAUGUAAUGCUCUUCGCUUCCGAAUGAGGGGAGUCUUACGACUAAGUAUUUUUCUGUACCCUUCCGAGUUCAGUGUCCCGUUGAUACGGAACAAAGGACCCGUGCCGUGCCAGGAGAAGCAACCCCACACCAUUACGUGGCCGCUUCCGUGCUUAAGGGUUUUUACCGUGUUUUUCGGAUGAUACGCCCGAUUGGGUAGGCGCCAGACGCAUUGAAUGCCGUCCGAACCAUCCAGAUUGAUUCUGGACUCAUCCUGAUCUUUUCAACAAUCUGCGCGUCAACGUUAGCCGUUGUUUUCCGCGGACGACCGGUCGACUUACCCGUAGCCUCGCUACGAAUGGCGUUGUCCACAACAAACGUCCGCGAACGGCCGAACGCCUUGCAGAUUGUCUUUAUUGGGACGUUCUCACGAAACAGUCCCUGAAUGUGUUUUCGCUCCUCUGGUAUGCAGUGCUUUCCGCGACCCAUGAUUAUUUUGUGGAAUUUUUCAACCGCAACCUUACCUUGACCUUGACCGAUCCUUUAUGGCGUUCCGUAGGAGGGAUGCGGUAACACAGCUCUUCAGAAACAGGGACAGCUACCAGCUACACUAAAUCACGAUGAGGAUCUCACGUGCCUCAGCAAUGAUUUCGCUCUUUACAGUUGCUAAUGAGUUGCGGGUACAUUGGCUCGUUUUCGAAGCCCCCAAAAAGUUUGAUCCGGUGUUUUAUAACAGAUAAACGGAUCAAUCGAUUACCAAAACAUUUGAUUGCUUAUUGAAAAUCGUCAGCCACGGGCAGCCACCAAUCGGCAGCGAAAACCCCGUGGACAAGCCUCUCCUCCACCCUAAAACGCCGACGAGCCGUUCUGUCGAUCCUUUAUGGCGUUCCGUAGGUGGGAUGCGAUAACACAGCCCUUCAGAAACAGGAACAGCUACUAGCUACACUACAUCCUGAUGAGGAUCUCACGUACCUCUGCAAUGAUUUCGCUCUUUACAGUUGCUAAUGAGUUGCGGGUACAUUGGCUCGUUUUCGAAGCCCCCAAAAAGUUUGAUCCGGUGUUUUAUAACAGAUAAACGGAUCAAUCGAUUACCAAAACAUUUGAUUGCUUAUUGAAAAUCGUCAGCCACGGGCAGCCACCAAUCGGCAGCGAAAACCCCGUGGACAAGCCUCUCCUCCACCCUAAAACGCCGACGAGCCGUUCUGUCGAUCCUUUAUGGCGUUCCGUAGGUGGGAUGCGAUAACACAGCCCUUCAGAAACAGGAACAGCUACUAGCUACACUACAUCCUGAUGAGGAUCUCACGUACCUCUGCAAUGAUUUCGCUCUUUACAGUUGCUAAUGAGUUGCGGGUACAUUGGCUCGUUUUCGAAGCCCUCAAAAAGUUUGAUCCGGUGUUUUAUAACAGAUAAACGGAUCAAUCGAUUACCAAUACAUUUGAUUGCUUAUUGAAAAUCGUCAGCCACGGGCAGCCACCAAUCGGCAGCGAAAACCCCGUGGACAAGCCUCUCCUCCACCCUAAAACGCCGACGAGCCGUUCUGUCGAUCCUUUAUGGCGUUCCGUAGGUGGGAUGCGAUAACACAGCCCUUCAGAAACAGGAACAGCUACUAGCUACACUACAUCCUGAUGAGGAUCUCACGUACCUCUGCAAUGAUUUCGCUCUUUACAGUUGCUAAUGAGUUGCGGGUACAUUGGCUCGUUUUCGAAGCCCUCAAAAAGUUUGAUCCGGUGUUUUAUAACAGAUAAACGGAUCAAUCGAUUACCAAUACAUUUGAUUGCUUAUUGAAAAUCGUCAGCCACGGGCAGCCAUCAAUCGCAAGCGAAAACGGCGUGGACAAUCCUCUCCUCCACCCUAAAACGCCGACGAGCCGUUCUGUCGAUCCUUUAUGGCGUUCCGUAGGUGGGAUGCGGUAACACAGCCCUUCAGAAACGGGAACAGCUACUAGCUACACUACAUCACGAUGAGUCGUUCUGUCGAUCCUUUAUGGCGUUCCGUAGGUGGGAUGCGAUAACACAGCCCUUCAGAAACAGGAACAGCUACUAGCUACACUACAACCUGAUGAGGAUCUCACGUACCUCUGCAAUGAUUUCGCUCUUUACAGUUGCUAAUGAGUUGCGGGUACAUUGGCUCGUUUUCGAAGCCCUCAAAAAGUUUGAUCCGGUGUUUUAUAACAGAUAAACGGAUCAAUCGAUUACCAAUACAUUUGAUUGCUUAUUGAAAAUCGUCAGCCACGGGCAGCCAUCAAUCGCAAGCGAAAACGGCGUGGACAAUCCUCUCCUCCACCCUAAAACGCCGACGAGCCGUUCUGUCGAUCCUUCAUGGCGUUCCGUGGGGGUGUGCAAUUUAUUUUAUUCUCUGAAACGGAGUUACAAAUUUUAGGUGUUGCUGGUAGCGCUUAAGCACCUACUUUCCUAUCUCUUAGCUAAGUCUGAUAGUACCGAACGCUCUUCGAACGUGAUGCAGCGGUGGUGUUAGGAAGAAUUCUCAUUUAGUCCUCAACUGGAAUCUCUUCCUCUUCUCUAGACUGCUAUCGCUAUCGUUCGAUCUUCUAGCGGUGUCGUUCAGACAAAGUCUUCAUCCGGCGGUGAGUGGUGUUUUCCUGCUAUGGACCGCACACUAUCGCUAUCGAUGCUCUUAAGGCCCUCGCGCUCUCGCAGGCGAAAUACGAGUAUCCUGUUUGUGCUGCGCGAUCGUACCGCACCGGCAUUCAUAUCCGCGUAACGUGGAUUCAUGUGGAUGGUAUAAGAAAAAUCGAUUAAAAAAAGUAGUAGUACAUCAAAGAAAGCUCAACGAAAAAACUAUAAAAGAUACAUUUCCUAUCCCUCAAAAAACAAAAAUGGAGAGCUUAGAAUAUCUGUCUAUAUUACCAGAUUAUAACAAAGAUUCUUUAGACCAUAUCACUAAUAACAAUUGUUCCAUUUCAGUACCCGUGAAAAAAGAAGAAACCAACAGCAAAAGUAACGAAAUCCCCGUAAAUGUCAGCAUCCGCAUACAUUCCCAAAUUCGAUCGUAUUCGGCGAGGAUCGUUGCGAUUGUGAAAAUGACAUAAAACGGUGGUUUUCUUGGAUGUUUUUCGAACAUUUUGCCAUACUGUACGUAUAGCUGUGCAGGAUACUCGAGAAAUGAAAUUAAAGCAAUCAUCAUAUCUAGGCUACUGCAACCAUUGCUCAUGUUCGAUCGAGUUUGGGAAUGUGGCUUUUAUAUCCAGCCACCUUUUGAAGAAUCCUCUCCCUCUUUCACCAGAUUCAUUCACCAAUUCUUCACCAGAUAAUAAUUCGGUUUCAUAAAAUAGCAAUAUAUCUCAUACAGCAGAUACCGCUGAUAGUUCUGACGAUUAUUAGCUUCACAUGUCAGAACGACCGAUCAACUAUUACAGUUCCCGUUCUAAAAUUACAACCAAAAAAAAAAAAAAAAAACAAUUUGCAGACCCGAUUUUUCUAGAUUCAAUAACAUUUUUUUAAAGAGUGCCAUAACAACAAGCAAAGUGCAAUAUUGGACCCAAUAGAAAUAAACCUUCUCAUUCGAAAAAAAUAUACAACAGCCUCUUUAGCCAACAUGGACACUUUGUUCUAACACAAAAUAGAGUCAAAGAUGCAGCUAACGAAAAUCGAACAACACAAUUUGGGAAAUGAUAAACACAAUUAUGCGCUUUUUUUUCAAAUUUCUUCAGAUACCACCAAAAAAUCUUACAGACAUCCGAAACGGCCUCUCAAAAUACACUAGCGUAUUUUUUAGCCCACCACGAAAAAUAAUUUGUGAUUUAGAAACUACAUCCAGAAGCCUUCGGCUACAAACUUUUCUCGUCAACCUAGGUAGCUAAAUAGAAUUCAAUGGCUUCUCUUCCGAAUCCAAUGGCCAAGUAUAUUAAACGCACAGUACCAUUAAAAAAGCCGAUCAAUACACAAAAACAACGAUAAACAAACAAAAAUUCGGAGAUCUUAGUUCACCAGAGUUAGUUAACAUAUUAACAGCCUUAUACAACGAUAACCGUACACUUCGCUAUUGGGUUCGCCGCUAACGAAAUAUUAUUCAACUGAUUGCAUACAAGAGAAUAAAUCCACUUUCACAUUUCAACAUACGAGAUGAAGAACGCUUUCAAUAAAGUAUCUAAAAAAUUACAAAACACCCAUAGAGACAUGUAAAGAUACAAUGACAAAAAGGCAAACCCAGCAGAAAUAGAGACAGGGAAGGCAGUCUACGUAAAAAAAAGUGUAAAAAAAAACAUUAGAUCCCAGAUUCAAUGCGAAAACAUGUAUGAAUAGCAAUAACAGUAGGCAGUACCAAUAGAAAUUACAAUCGAGAAGAACAAAAACAAAUUAACGAUUAAAAUCAGCAUUUAAUUGUCAUUACGGAAGUAACCAAUACAUGAAGUAACCAUAAAAAGACAAGAGAAAACAAUCAUCGCUAACCCUACCAACAUUUGCAUUACUUAAAUUGAAAACCUACGGCCAAGAAAUAGAAAUUACGUUUGUAAAUAGGCAACCAUUAUUUUUUUUUACAAAACCAAAUCAUGUAGAAUACAUUUCGGAACUUGAAAAAUAUAUUAACACACUAAUAAGCCAUCUGCGGAUAUACGAAACAACUAACAUUAGAUUUAAUGAACUAAAUCGUGUGAAGAUUAAACAAUUGUACUCGAACUUUCUACAAAUAGUACCAACACAUCGACUUAGCUGAAGCAUCGAACUCACCGGUCAACUGUGGAAGUAGAUAACUGGCUGUCCAGGUCGCUGAAUAUUUGCGACUGAUUAACGCAACCAUGAACAAGCUGGUUGGCGGCAACAACCUCCAAUUUAGAAUCAAUGAGAGCAGUUUAACAAACGUUGGCAAUCCUCACCAACUCCAAAGACGAGAUAAUUAAGAGAAAAAAUCCGCAUUCUGCUGACAUUGAAGCUAUCAAGCCCAUAUUUAACAUCAACGCCAUGAUGCACCUCAUAGAAUUCAUCCAAAAAACAACAGUUUGGGCACACGAAUCUGUUACCAACAGUGUAAACUCCUCACAACACCACACGAGAUGAGCUUGAUAUGUUCCACACUAGAAGAACAAGGCAUCGUGAUAGACAUUCCCCUGAUGAAGCGUUUCAAUGAAUAAACCCAAGAAUCGCAGUUAACAAGACGCAUCUGCUAUACAUUCGCAGAUUAUCCCAGCUAGAAACAGAACAAGCUUCAGAGCUGUAGUUGAACAUCUAAUAUUACUGAACAAUGGUAACAACAUCAGCUAACGGAGCAAAUGCGUUCCUGGCAAUAGAACAACCCAUGGGAUCUAUUUGAUAAAGUUAUUGAAGAAACUGCACAGUUAUAAUUGGGAAAGAUACCUUCAGAUCAAAAAACGCUUUCGAUUACAUCAGAACCAUAUUGAGGAGCAAUGCACAAGCAGCAAUACCGCCAAAUACCAAUUUCCUUUGACAACAAUGUCAUUAACAGGAUGAUUCUGGAACAACGUUAAGCUUCUGCAAUUCAGCAACAUCGAUUACUGGAAGUGGAGCAUACUGGGAGGAACACUGCAUCGCAUCGUAACAAUGCUUACGUUAACAUUUUUCCUCGUUAUUUAUUACUACAGAAGAACGAUAGAGCAUUAAACUCUAAGAAAAGCCGAAUCACAAAGCGACACCUUCAACGCGUCAUCACCCUUCAGAGGAGUUACGCGCUAAGCUACUGCCACGUGUGCACGCGCUGCCUAGCAACAGUAACGCAACACCGAUGUGCUGCGUGUCUGGCAACAGCAACCUGACUCCGGCGUGUGGCUACACGCAUAAUCGAUCGAACAAGCCAACAAGCGAGACAACCAGCCAGCCAGCCAACCAGCCAGCCAACCAGCCAGCCAACCAGCCAGCCAACAAGCGAGACAACCAGCCAGCCAACCAGCCAGCGAGCCAGCCAACCAGCCAGCGAGCCAGCCAACCAGCCAGUUAACCAACCCGUCAGCGAGCCGGCCAACCAGACAGCCAGCCAACCAGCCAGUCAACCAACCGACCAACUCGUCAGCGAGCCAACAGUUCAGUUCUGAUCGAGCCAACAGUUCAACCAACAGUUCGUGGAACACUCCAUGAUUAAAGAAUAAAGUUUUUAUUGAAACUAA